AGCGGGGCCCAUCCCGUAAGGCUAAAUACUCCCGAGAGACCGAUAGCGAACCAGUACUGUGAAGGAAAGGUGAAAAGCACCUCGAACAGAGGAGUGAAAUAGUCCCUGAAACCGUCUGCCUACAAGCGGUCGGAGCAACGUAAGUUGUGACGGCGUGCCUUUUGCAUAAUGAACCUACGAGUUACUUUCUCCGGCAAGGUUAAGGGCUUCAGGCCCGGAGCCGAAGCGAAAGCGAGUCUUAAUAGGGCGUGAUAGUCGGAGUGAGUAGACGCGAAACCAAGUGAUCUACCCUUGGUCAGGAUGAAGGUUGGGUAACACCAACUGGAGGUCCGAAUGGGUAUACGUUGAAAAGUGUUCCAAUGAACUGAGGGUAGGGGUGAAAGGCUAAUCAAACUUGGAGAUAGCUCGUACUCCCCGAAAUGCAUUUAGGUGCAGCCUUUAUUUAGUAUAGCAUGAGGUAGAGCGACUGAUUGGAUGCGAGGGCUUCACCGCCUAUCAAGUCCAGAUAAACUCCGAAUGCGUGCUAUAUAUUGAUAAGGAGUGAGGGCGCGGGUGCUAAGGUCCGCGUCCGAGAGGAGAAGAAUCCAGACCAUCAGCUAAGGUCCCCAAAUAACAGUUAAGUUGAACUAACGAAGUCGGACUGCAGAGACAGCUAGGAUGUUGGCUUGGAAGCAGCCAUUCAUUUAAAGAGUGCGUAACAGCUCACUAGUCGAGGAGUCCGGCGUGGAUAAUACUCGGGCAUAAACUGUUUACCGAAGCUAUGGAUGUAGAAAUACAUGGUAGGGGAGCAUUCCAACGGCGUCGAAGGUGAAGGAUGACCUUUGCUGGAGCUUUUGGAAACGCAAAUGUAGGUAUAAGUAACGAUAAAGGAGGUGAGAAACCUCCUCGCCGAAAGACUAAGGUUUCCUGAUCAACGUUAAUCGGAUCAGGGUAAGUCGGGACCUAAGGUUAAGCCGAACGGCGAUACCGAUGGAAGAAUGGUUUAAUAUUCCCAUACUACUUUAUGGAGCGAUGUGGAGACGGAGAAGUGAAAGUCCUGCCAUCUGACGGAAUAGGUGGUUGAAGAGUGUAGAUGUAGAUUCCUGUAGGCAAAUCCGCAGGGAGAGUCGACCUUGAUAGUAUGCCGCGUGCUUGCACAAGGCAAAAUGGACGUAAUCAGGCUCCCAAGAAAAUCCGCUAAGCAUAUUCAUAAAGUACCCGUACCGUAAACGGACACACGUAGUUGGGUUGAAAAUACUGAGGCGCUCGAGUGAUUCACGGUUAAGGAACUAGGCAAAUUGACCCUGUAACUUCGGGAUAAAGGGUCCCUACUGAGAGGUAGGGCGCAGAGAAUAGGUCCAGGCAACUGUUUAACAAAAACACAUGGCUGUGCGAAAUAGAAAUAUGAAGUAUACAGCCUGACACCUGCCCGGUGCUGGAAGGUUAAGAGGAGAUGUCAUCGCAAGAGAAGCAUUGAAUUGAAGCCCCAGUAAACGGCGGCCGUAACUAUAACGGUCCUAAGGUAGCGAAAUUCCUUGUCGGGUAAGUUC
rnacentral:rRNA from 1 species